GCUGGGAGGACUUGCUCAGAGCCACUCAGCCAGUAGGAGUGGAACUGGGAUUUCAGCCCAUGGCUGUCUGACUCUGGGUGUCUGUACUGGGACCACCUGCCAUGAACUCCAGGGACCUCUCAGCAGAUGUUGAGGUCCGCAACUCCUGGGAGCCUGCCGCCUUCUCUCCUGUAUUUGGCCAGGCUGUCCAGGGAGAGGGCUCUACCAAGAUGUCCAGGAUGGAUGCCGCGCUGGCUUUUCUCACUGUCACUCCAUUCCCUGAAGGGGACUGGAGGUCCUGGACCAGCCUUGCCUCUCCUCAGCUACGCAUGUCAACCUUAAAACACCCCACAGGGCCAGGCAUGGUGUUUCAUGCCAGCAAUCCUAGCUCUUUGGGAGACCAAAGCAGGCAGAUCAUUUGAGGCCAGGAGUUCAAGACCAGCUUGGGCAAGAUGGUGAAACCCCAUCUCUACUAAAAACAAAACAACAACGACAACAAACCUCACAAACAUCUGUUCAGCAAAAAAAAAGAAAGAAAGAAAGAAAACAAUCAAGGCAGGCAAAAAAGAACCCUCUAUUUAUUUGGAUAAGAAAAGCAAGCAAAACCCCCAAAUCUCCAGAGUGGUCAACUCUCAGGAGAGGAAGGGAGGGACUAGAAAAGGCAGGACCCUUGGGGUUUUGAGGAGCCACAUUCCAGCUCUAAGCUGGGCAGGGGCCCCAGGUAUCUGUUGAAUUGUUCUUAAAGAAUCGGCCCCGCCUGUCUGGCCCCUGCCUGCCUGUCCUUACUCUUCCUGGCUUCCUUGCCCUGCCCCAUUUCUUAUACCCUACCUGCAGUCCUACCCCAAGUCUGGAACAGUUUAGUGGGGAGCCAGCAUUUCCUGACCGGUGCCCCAAGAAGCAGAGAAUGUUGUUUUGUGGCAAGAGAGGAAGUAGGAGAGGGAGUUGGAGAGCCUAAUUGCCCUGGUUUCUUCGAGGUUCCAGCUCCCAGCUCCAAUACCUGAGCUGCUCCUCCUGCCCUCUAGGUUUUUUUUUUUUCUAAGAUGGAGUCUCUGUCUCCCGGGCUGGCUGGAGUGCAGUGGCGCGAUCUGGGCUCACUGCAACCUCUGCUUCCUGGGUUUAGG
rnacentral:lncRNA from 10 species